UGAGGAAUAUUGGACAAUGGGCGCAAGCCUGAUCCAGCAAUGCCGCGUGCAGGAUGAAGGCCUUCGGGUUGUAAACUGCUUUUGUACGGAGCGAAGAGGUCUGCCCUAAUACGGUGGGCUCAUGACGGUACCGUAAGAAUAAGCACCGGCUAACUACGUGCCAGCAGCCGCGGUAAUACGUAGGGUGCGAGCGUUAAUCGGAAUUACUGGGCGUAAAGCGUGCGCAGGCGGUUAUAUAAGACAGAUGUGAAAUCCCCGGGCUCAACCUGGGACCUGCAUUUGUGACUGUAUAGCUAGAGUACGGUAGAGGGGGAUGGAAUUCCGCGUGUAGCAGUGAAAUGCGUAGAUAUGCGGAGGAACACCGAUGGCGAAGGCAAUCCCCUGGACCUGUACUGACGCUCAUGCACGAAAGCGUGGGGAGCAAACA
rnacentral:rRNA from 1 species